UCCAGACUCCUACGGGAGGCAGCAGUGAGGAAUGUUGGUCAAUGGGCGAGAGCCUGAACCAGCCAAGUCGCGUGAGGGACGACGGCCCUACGGGUUGUAAACCUCUUUUGCCGGGGGACAAACGGCGGCACGCGUGCCGUCCUGAGGGUACCCGGAGAAAAAGCAUCGGCUAACUACGUGCCAGCAGCCGCGGUAAUACGUAGGUGGCGAGCGUUAUCCGGAAUGAUUGGGCGUAAAGGGUGCGCAGGCGGUCCUGCAAGUCUGGAGUGAAACGCAUGAGCUCAACUCAUGCAUGGCUUUGGAAACUGGAGGACUGGAGAGCAGGAGAGGGCGGUGGAACUCCAUGUGUAGCGGUAAAAUGCGUAGAUAUAUGGAAGAACACCAGUGGCGAAGGCGGCCGCCUGGCCUGUUGCUGACGCUGAGGCACGAAAGCGUGGGGAGCAAAUAGGAUUAGAUACCCGAGUACA
rnacentral:rRNA from 1 species